ACGAAAAGCUUUUGGUGGCGGUUGUAGUUCACCGCAAAUAAUUUUAAUUUUCAAAUCAUUGGCUGAAAUCGUCGAAAGUAAUUGAAUCUGGUUUCACAUUGCUUGUUAAACAAUUUUUUGCUCAAAGAUUUAUUUUGAGCUUCUUCAUCUGUGCAUCGAAAAUGUUGGGGCCAUCCGCUCGGAACGUAAAAAAAAAUUAGCUACGAAAUCCAGGUAAGUAAAACUGAAAAAAUGAAUCCUUCCAUUAUCUGACAAAGAGGAAACUUUAUAGAGGCAUCAUUUUAGAAGUUGGCCGAGAUACCUGUUCGGAAUUGGAAGAAGCUGCCAACAGUACUGGAGAAUCGGAAAAAUUAAAAUAAAGAGAACGGAUCUGCGCUAUGGCACCGGUGGAUUGCAGGCAAACUUACCAUCAGCGUUUUGAAUAUCAAGACGUAUUCUGUUCUUUAUCGGGAGGUAGAAGCAGAUUUAUAAAAAAAAUAGGAUCGGAAGACAGCUAAAUGAGCGUCAACCGACACCGUCGUGAUGAUCAUCUACUCCGGGAGCUGAAAACGAAAAGAUUUUGCGACGAAAUUUAUGCUUGUGAAACAAUGAAGGAUUAAUACAGGCAGGUUUAGAAGAUCAAGAAUAUUUGACAUACUUUAUUGUUGCUUUCAAAAUUACAUACUAUUUUAAGGUAAAAACACAUCUGAUUCCCAUCUGUGAUAUGAUAGCCAUCCAGGACACAAUUCACUGGAGGCGGGUGGUGGCUUAAAACAUGCAUUAAUACUAGUAUGUAAGGUAAUUACUAUAAUCAUCACCGUUAAUGUUAAUUUUUUUUGCAUUAUUAUUAUCUUUAUCUUUAUUGGCUUUUUAUUAGGUUAUAAUGUCAUUUAUUUAUUUUUAUAAGUGCUUCUAAUUCGGUGUUCAAAAUUUCAUUCUAUCGCCAGGUUAAAUUAACUUCACUAUACGUGACUAUACGGAAAUAUGACCCCGGAAAGAAAAUUUGUAGAAAUCAAAAAGACUUCUUACACCCAGCAGAGACGGAAGCCGUUAUUUCAGAAUAACCAAGAAACGCAGCUACAGUUUGCACGUCUAUCAGGGUGCACUAUGCGCCCUGGAUUACGUUUCACAUGAAGAUUUUCUCCUGUACAGUCGUUUAAUUCCUCGGUAGAAGAAACAUUACCGCUGGUAGCUAUACGAGAUGCAUGAGGGAUAACAACCAAGGAAAUUCUAAUGACUGUUAUCCCGUUCAACAUGAGUUGCCGCGAGACGCCGGAUUCUUGCGUCUUGGUUAACUAAUUGCGGCAUUAGUGCACCCUUAUAAAAAAACCCUGGGUUAGCUGCGUGUUAUUUAAUUGGACGGCAAUGGAGAAUUUUCUCGACCAUGAACUCCGGACACGGUCCUAGGUGGCGGUGUCUUAGGCGGGGAAAGCCUUCCCGUUCUAAAUAACAGCUCGCACAUUAGCUUGCAGAUGCCGCCAAAUGGGGAGCACCUUCCGGAGGAAGCGCGAGGAUGGCCAUAAGUCCGAUUGGCCCUUCCGGCUUCUUCCAUGGAAGCAAAUCCUAUGAUUUUGACAAUCCUCAAGGAGGCAGGUCGAUAAGUUGGAACUUGGAUGUCGGCUUUUGGUCUGCUAGAUGGAUGCAAUUUGAAUUUAAGAACUAGGAAAUUAACUUAUAAACGCGUUUAAAUCGUGUGUAUUACUUGCCUUUAAUGUUGUUAUUGUGCGGAAUAAAAACAUUUAUUUUCGAGAA